CCAAUAGCGUAUAUUAAAGCUGUUGCAGUUAAAAAGCUCGUAGUUGAAUUUCGGGAUCAAUAUGUCGGUCGUGCUUAGGUACGUACUGGCAUCGUUGGUUUCUCCUUUCUGAUGAACCAUGAUGCCAUUAAUUUGGUGUUAUGGGGAAUCAGGACUGUUACCUUGAAAAAAUUAGAGUGUUUAAAGCAGGCUCACGCUUGAAUACAUUAGCAUGGAAUAAUGAAAUAGGACGUUUGAUUCUAUUUUGUUGGUUUCUAGGAUCGACGUAAUGAUUAAUAGGGAUAGUUGGGGGCAUUAGUAUUCAAUUGUCAGAGGUGAAAUUCUUGGAUUUAUUGAAGACUAACUACUGCGAAAGCAUUUGCCAAGGAUGUUUUCAUUAAUCAAGAACGAAAGUUAGGGGAUCGAAGACGAUCAGAUACCGUCGUAGUCUUAACCAUAAACUAUGCCGACUAGGGAUCGGAUGAUGUUAAUUUUUUAAUGACUCAUUCGGCGCCUUACG
rnacentral:rRNA from 1 species